rnacentral:lncRNA from 1 species
UUUUCAAAUCAAUAAAGUUGUGGCCAUGACCAUCUCAAUAUUUCUAGAAGAAAAAAUGAUAUCGAUUUUUAAUAUGAUGGUGUAAAUGAGUUCGUCUUCUCGUGAUCUACUUCAGAUCAGCAUGUUAAAAGCUCAAAUUGAGUCUCCUUUCAAAAAAUAAAAAAGCAUGAAUUCAGUCAAAGGCGAGGAUCCAGUCUUCUUUCUACACCUUCAUCACACUCCUACAUAUAGUCAGAUGGUUUAAACAACAUUCUUUUCUGUACCAGAAAUCAAUGUAACCAAUCUGCAGCCCCCCUUUGUGGAUGAUGUUGUUUCAUGUUUUGAUAAAGGUAACAAAAUGUGAAAGCCAAAUAGAAGCCAGCUGGACAGCACUGGAGGCUUGGAAAAGUGGCAAUAAAGUUACCUAAAAAUAAAACGGAUGUUUUUAUUAAAUAAAUAGGAUUUAUUCCUAUGAAAUGUGUGUAUUGAAAACUUGGGUUUUACCCAUAUGUUUAAUGUUAUAAAACAUGGUGGUUUACUCUGAUUAAAUAUUUCCUAACUACGGUCCUGAU